UAGACACGGCUAAGAGGAGAAAACAAACUUCCACGGAACUUGAUCUUCACUCAUCAGAGAGUGUGAAAUAUAUAGGAAACUUGAAUCUCAGAGACAAUAGCUGCCUCUUAUUCGAAGGCUUCACAUGAAAUGGGAAUCACCCAACGGAUAACAAUAUUCUGCUCUGCCACAGGACCACCCUUCUUGAAUUUGGAAAGAAGCCUUGGGUAAGCAACCACGUGGGUCGCCGUGAAGACAGUUUUCUCAUGAAGAAGCAUUUCCAAGUUCAAAAUUGUCACUCAUCAAGCUUUCAAAGCCACUCCGCCUCCAAGUUUGUUUGGUUCUUAUUAAGAGUGUGACCAAAGAGACCCACCACAAAGAUCCGUGUGUGUUGCAAUUGGCGUGGAUUAACCUCUCAAAGAAUGGUGUCUCACAAAAAGUAUUACGUCACCCUGGCCUUGACUAAGGUUCAGCCCCUCAUGUUGCUAAUUACAGGCGAAGUCAUUGAAAAUAAAGAGUCCGGACACACCCUAAAUAGGGAGCGGGUGACAUUUGUCGUCAUCAUUUUCCAAGGAGACACUCUUUCAACGACGAAGAUGCAUCUGUUGCCCGGUCAUUGUUGCUGGUAUUGUUGUAGCAGUUGCCCUUACCCCAAAGAACGUCCGCUCAAAAUGGGCACCAAUUCUUGACCGAACGUUGAAUGGUCACCAACAAAAUUGAGACAUUUUCCCACGACUUGAAGAUAACUGCAAGAGGUCAAGUUUAGAUUCUGAAAAGUAUCUAAACCUAACAAUAUUCAUAUUACUUAUUCUUAGGGCGUGUCUUUUUUGGGAACUUUUUAUUGCACUAGCAAAACAACGCCCCUAGCCCUCUUUGUCCAAAAAUCCAGUUGCUAAGACGCUCAUCCAUUUUCUAUUGGAAUCUUUGGACAGGUACUUUUGUGUUCAUUAAACACCCUUUCGAUAAUCCACUCCCAACGAGAGAGUCCUUUCACCCUCCAGCAACGACUCUCCAUAACCGUUCAAAUUUCUCAACUCAUCGAGUGCGGUUAGUCAGUUGACUUUUUUGCACCACUCAUGAUUUCUCCGAUCGUCUGGAAUGAUGCAUCAAAUAUGCCAUAUGUCGAAUGGGAUAUGGAACGAGGGGAACACGGAACGCGUUCUCCUUGGAGAGCGCACAUUGAUGUCAGAUUUGCUAGUCUGCUUGUUGAAUUGUCUCAAGGGAGCCUUGAACCAAAUGGAACGGAAUCAGGACUCGGCUGCAAACCGCAAUCAUAAAACGACCCGAUUCAACCACAGAUUGACGACAACGCGAGGAGAGAGACAGAGCCAACGGAAAGCUCUGACAUGUCUAACCAUGAGUUCUGGCCGUUUAUUUUCAUCUCAUCAACAUAACUACUAUUUUUGGGUCACAGAUAAAGGAAGAAAAAUAAGCAACACAGCCGCCAUUGCCAGCCUUCCUUUCCUUGGAACAGUGUGCAAUCAUAAUCGGGAGUUGUAUCCGAGGGCAAGAACCGCAACAUAUGCCGUUUCAUAAAGAGUCAUAAAAACGUCGAGACUCGAGAUAGUAUUCCUUAUUUGCCCAUCCCUUUUUGACAAAUCCAUAUUGAGCGAUGAUACUCAGCCCCAUCAUCAUCGUCAUCAUUUUGAGGGUCGGGAUUAGUUCUUUGAUCCUUGGAUCAAGCACCAGUCCAUUGAAUCAUCCAGAUGAUGACAUGAGUGGUGUAAAAAAACGAGGCA